UGACGCACAGAAACCAGAAAAGCAGUGCGGCCCGUGGGGCAUGGGACGCUGGACAGGUCAGUCCUGCUCUUGAACGGGAGAAGUCCCCUGGAGAUCACAAACCUACAAUGAUGUGAAAUCUUGAAGAUGAGCCCUAAAAUACAACUUGAGAUGGUUCAGAGGUUAAAAUGGCUCAUAGAACCUCAUACAAUAUUUAAAAUCAGACCACAGCAAAAAUUUCAAACAUCAAUGGCAUUUUAUUUAGGAAGUUUCUAUGUAUCACACAGGUAUUAACUUCCUUUCUCUCAUAAUCCCCUUAAAAAAUACAGAAAGAUUAAAAAACAAACAAACAAAAAA